CCAAGAAGUGAAGAGAUGCAGGUAACGGAGUAGGGAAAACAUCAUCAUAAAAUUUUAGAGGCUAAAAAAGAGUAACAGUAUUAUGUGUCAUCCAAACUAUGCAUUUGAGGAUGAUUUUAAUAAAAUCCUCAGGGUAAGAAAGACAAACUGGGCCUCACCAGGCUCAACAAGUGUUAUCUUCACUGACUUUUUCAUUUAGACUUUAGAUUUCUUCUAUCCCAGGAAGUUUGUAACUUAAAAUUCCCAUAAAUAGUUAUAUUAAAAAAUUAUUUUAUGACAAAAAAUUAUAUUUUAUGCCUUUUAAAUUUUAUUAGGUACUUCAUUAAGAAAUUAUAUUAAGAAGUGAUCAUUAAAACAUUAAUUCUUUACUUUUUUUUUUAGUUUUCCUAAAAACAAAAGUUUAAAUAAACCAUUUAGAAUUUUUCAGAUCAACAGCUAUGCGCUUACUCCCUACCAUUCCUUUAAAAAUAAGUCAUAGGCCUGUAAUGUACAGCAUAGAGACUAUAGUUAAGAAUACUAUAUUGCAUAUUUGAAAGUUGCCAAGAUAAUCUUAAACAGUCCUCAUCAUAAGAAAAAAACAUAACUAUGUAUGAAGGUGAGUGUUAACUCAAGUUACUGUAGUAAUUCAAUAUCGAAUUUUUAUAUUAUAUAUCUCAAAAUAAUAAAAUGUUAUGUGUCAGUUAUACCUCAACAAAACAUAUUGAUAGGUAUAUUACUUUACAUACACACAUACUGAAUACUUAAACACACAUGUGCAUUGUACUCUCUCAUCUAGUUUAAAACUACUUUUGAGCAUAAUUAGGACAAAUACCAUAUUCAUUAUGUAGAUAAAGACCAAAUCUUGCAGUAAGUAACACAGAUGGUUAGGAGGUGGAGGAUCGUUUGAUUUAAUAUACCAGACAAUAGUUCUCAAUAGGAAUGUGCUUGUCUGGUGCGGUGAUGUAUGAAGUAUCUAAGAAGAUUUCAAAUGAUGUGUGCUUAUUCCAUUACCUUUCUCAUUCCAGUAUUGUGUUGAGCUUGUUCAUUUCAGAAACCACCUUACUUAGGACAGUUUAAGAAGCUCUUCUCCAGUCAUCUCUACCACCCCACCAACUAUCUGGUGGAUCUAUUUUUAGAUUGUGAUUGCCUGAUGUGACAAAUUGAAAUCCUGUAUCAUGUCUGGAUGUUGCUCAGUGUUUGAAAUGAGCUUAAGAGUAGUCAUAAGAGGAGGGAAGUUUCCUUACCAUCUCUCCAAAGAACAAACUAGAAACUCUCUGGAACAUGCGUGCGGUACCUUUGAUGGAAGAUACAUAUGGCUGGUGGGUAAGGACUCCUGUCUUCUACAUCUUAAGCACAAAUGCACUACACUUUACAAUGUGUUCUCUUGAACUACUCAAAAUUUGCUCACCAUCUGCUGUAAAUCCCCUUCAAUAGGUGUACCCUCUUUGGUCCUUGGCAUCUAGUACCUCUUUGCAUUGGCAUCCACUCAGUUCCCAAUUAUCCUUUGAUCCUAAUAUAUUAUUUUUGUUUGUCAACAUCAUUUUUUUCUUAUAAGAAGUACUAUUAAUACAUUUUUAAAAGUAGAUGAUAAGAAAAUGAUAAUAAUCCAAGCUAUCAUUCAUACACAGGCAUAUUCACACAUAGACAAGUACACAAAGACUAGCACCAAAACAAUCAAAAUCAUUUUCAUUACGACAAAUUCUAAUAGACCUUCAUCUUAAAAUAUUCCCUGACCAGAAAUAAAUUAGUUACUAAAGCAGAAAAAUAAAAUACAGUAGCUAAUUUUAUUAUUUAAAAAAAACUUGAAAUGUAUAUAUUCUGAUGGAGUGUUAUUUAAAAAAAGUUGAAAUGUGUAUAUUCUGAUGGAGUGUGAAUUGCUCCUAUUAGGCCAAGGCAUAUUCUUCUGAUGAAGAAACAUGUUACAUUUAUAAUUAAUCAUUUCUAUAAUGCAUGGGUUGAUAACAACAUCUCUAACUGUAUUUUUAAAAUAUUUAAAUAUGCAUAAGACAGAUAAAAACUACAUAUGAUAAAUUAUUUCUUAAAGCAUUCACCUCACAGUAUUUCUUUUACCUGAACUUAUAGAUAUGUAUAUAAAUGUGUGUAUACAUAUAUACACCAUAUAUGUGUAUGUGUAUACAUAUAUAUGUGGUAUGGUUAAUAUAAAGAAUAAAUGUGUACCAGGAGAAGAAAAACAUUUUUUAUAUUACUUUUAAUUGAAAAGACAAAACUAUGAAGACAAUGAAAAGAUUAGUGGUUGCUAAGGUUGCAGGAUCAUGGAUAGUUGAAUAGACAGAGAAUAGAGAAUUUUUAGGGCAUUGAAAAUAUAUAAUAUAUAUUUUAAAAUGUUUAUUUUUAUUGCACUGUAGUUGAUUUACAGUAAUAUAUUAGUUUCUGAUGUACAACAUAGUGGUUCAAUAUUUUUAUAUAUUAUGCUCAAUUUAAAAUUAUUGUAAAACCUUGUCUAUAAUUCUCUAUACUGUACAAUAUAUCCCUGUCACUUAUUUCAGACAUAGUAGUUUGUGCCUUUUCAUCUUCGGUCUUUCCUCUCUACACUCUCCCCACUGAUAAACACUAGUUUGUUCUCUAUAUAUAUGUCUGGUCCUUUUUUAUUUUAUUCACUGGUUUGCUGUAUUUUUUAGAUUCCAUAUAUACCUUAUACAGUAUUUGUCUUUCACUCUCUGACUUAUUUCACUAAGCAGAGUACCUUCUAGGUAUGUCUAUAUUGUUGCAGAUGGCAGAAUUUCUUUCUUUUUAUGGCUAAUAUUCCAUUGUAUAUAUUUUCAUAUAUGUUGUGCAAUAUAUUUCAUUGUGUAACUUCUUAAAAAAUGUUCUUGUUUUGAUAGACACCUGGGUUGCUUUCAUAUCAUGUCUAUUAUAAAUAAUGCUGCUGCAUUUACCUUUUUGAAUUGGGGUGCGUUUACCUUUUUGAAUUAUUGUUUUCUUCUUUGGUGGGUGUAUACCCAGCAGUGAAAUUGCUGGAUUAUGUGGUAGUUCUAUUUUUAGUUUUAUAGUAUAUUUACUCUAAUUUCUUUUAUUCACCUUAUCGCUGACAUUUGUUACUUGCAGACUUUUGCAUGAUAGACAUUCUGACAGUUGUGAGAUGAUAUUUCAUUGUGGUUUUGAUUUUCAUGUAUCUCAUGAUUAGUGAUGUU
rnacentral:lncRNA from 1 species